rnacentral:rRNA from 1 species
CUGCUGCCUUCCGUAGGAGUUUGGGCCGUGUCUCAGUCCCAAUGUGGCCGGUCGGCCCUCUCAGGUCGGCUACUGAUCGUCGGCUUGGUAGGCUUCUACCCCACCAACUACCUAAUCAGACGCGGGCCCAUCUUACACCACCUCAGUUUUUACCUCUGUACCAUGCGGUACUGGGGUCUUAUGCGGUAUUAGCAAUCAUUUCUAAUUGUUAUCCCCCUGUGUAAGGCAGGUUGCCCACGCGUUACUCACCCGUCGCCGCUAAGCCA